CCACUGGCCCAGAAAUAUGGAGAGACUCAGGGGGAAAAGUUGAUGCUCUGGUUGCAGGGAUUGGAACUGGUGGAACUGUGACUGGAGCUGGGAAAUUCCUCAAGGAGAAAAACUCAGAGAUUAAGGUUUAUGGCGUAGAACCAGUUGAAAGUGCAGUAUUGAAUGGAAGAAAUCCUGGUCCACAUCUGAUCCAAGGAAUUGGUGCUGGUGUAAUCCCUAGUGUUUUGGAUGUUGACUUGCUGGAUGAAGUUCUUCAAGUAUCAAGUGAGGAAGCUAUUGAAACUGCUAAGCUGCUCGCCCUCAAAGAAGGUUUAUUGGUUGGUAUAUCUUCUGGUGCUGCAGUAGCAGCUGCAAUUAANNNNNNAAGAGGCCUGAAAAUGCUGGGAAACUCAUUGUUGUGAUAUUGCCUAGUUUUGGAGAGCGUUACCUAUCUACAAAGCUUUUUGAUUCGGUGAGGCAUGAGGUGGAAAACAUGACUAUUGAUUGAGAUAUUAGU
rnacentral:misc_RNA from 1 species